CUAGCAUAUCAAUAAGCGGAGGAAAAGAAACCAACAGGGAUUGCCCUAGUAACGGCGAGUGAAGCGGCAACAGCUCAAAUUUGAAAUCUGGCUCUUUUAGAGUCCGAGUUGUAAUUUGCAGAGGGCGCUUUGGCGUUGGCAGCGGUCCAAGUUCUUUGGAACAGGACGUCACAGAGGGUGAGAAUCCCGUACGUGGUCGCUAGCCUUCGCCGUGUAAAGCCCCUUCGACGAGUCGAGUUGUUUGGGAAUGCAGCUCUAAAUGGGAGGUAAAUUUCUUCUAAAGCUAAAUACUGGCCAGAGACCGAUAGCGCACAAGUAGAGUGAUCGAAAGAUGAAAAGCACUUUGGAAAGAGAGUCAAAUAGCACGUGAAAUUGUUGAAAGGGAAGCGCUUGCAGCCAGACUUGCCUGUAGUUGCUUAUCCGGACUUUUGUCCGGUGCACUCUUCUGCGGGCAGGCCAGCAUCAGUCUAGGCGGUUGGAUAAAGGUCUCUGUCAUGUACCUCUCUUCGGGGAGGCCUUAUAGGGGAGACGACAUGCAACCAGCCUGGACUGAGGUCCGCGCAUCUGCUAGGAUGCUGGCGUAAUGGCUGUAAGCGGCCCGUCUUGAAACACGGACCAAGGAGUCUAACAUCUAUGCGAGUGUUUGGGUGUCAAGCCCAGACGCGUAAUGAAAGUGAACGGAGGUGGGAACCCUUUGGGUGCACCAUCGACCGAUCCUGAUGUCUUCGGAUGGAUUUGAGUAAGAGCAUGGCUGUUGGGACCCGAAAGAUGGUGAACUAUGCUUGAAUAGGGUGAAGCCAGAGGAAACUCUGGUGGAGGCUCGCAGCGGUUCUGACGUGCAAAUCGAUCGUCAAAUUUGGGCAUAGGGGCGAAAGACUAAUCAAACUAUCUAGUAGCUGGUUCCUGCCGAAGUUUCCCUC
rnacentral:rRNA from 1 species